rnacentral:misc_RNA from 1 species
AAAGUAAAAAGUGUUGUUGUAACUAGUGAAUUUAAAGAUUUCACAUGGAUUCAUUGAAAUGACAAAUUUUUCCACUACAAAUGACUAUCUAAGGAAGAUAAACGAAGCAGAAGCAGCCAGCAUUAGAAGAAACAAUGAUUUGCUUAAAGAAAUAUCAGAUGUAAUUAAGAAGGCUGAUUCUUAUAAUAAAAAAACUGAGCAGCUUUGGAAACUUAGGAGUGAAUAUGUGAAGCAUAUACAAGACUUAUAUCCAGAAUGGAGUAGCAAAGUAUUUAAAAAUCAUCAAUUGGAAACAACAAAUGGAAAUUUGAAUAAAAAAAAUAAGGAAACCAGACCUUUACUCUCAGAGGAUUUUCUCCACAGAAAGUACGAUACUUUAUACCCAGAGGUUGCUAAACAAAGAAACCAAGAUUAUCUGUACCCAAAAUUUGCUUCCCAAAAAUUGAAUGAUUUUUUAGACUCUGAGGUUGUUGCCCAAAGUAUGAAUGAUUCUUUAUACCCAGAGUUUGUUCACCGUAGAAUGCAAGAAUGGAAAACUGACCCUUCUUUUUCUGCAAGUAUCCCAAAAAUCCAUUCAUCAAACAAAUUCAAAAGUCAAUUGAGUACUAAUUCAAAUAAAAUGUACACAACCAGCUUAUUGAGAGAUGACACUAUGAAGAGUAAUUAUUUUUCACAAGACUCUUUUCAUAGAGAACCGACCAGAUUUGAUGAAAAUAGAUCAUAUCUUACAUUUCAGAAACCCUCUCUGUUACAUCAUUCUCAAAUAAAAGUUAAAGAAGAAGAAAAUAAACGUUUCUUUCCUUUUUAUAGUACGCCAAAUAAAAUAGAUUAUGAAAGAAAGAAAAUAUUUCCUGAUUCUUUAAAGUUUUUUCCAAUGGCUCAGGAAAAAGCUUCCAUUCCAGUUGAAAGUCAAAUAUAUAACCUAAAUCAAAGACAAGCAUUCCUGCCAACUGAAAAUCAAAGCCCUAAUCAAAGUAGGAAUUAUAUGUCAGUUGAAGAUCAGGUAUACACUCAUAAUCAAAGUCAGACAUUUAUGUCAACAGAAAAUGAAAUAAAAAUUCUUCCUCAACUAGUUGGUAUAGCACCUGAUGGUCGAUUAGUUCUGCUACCUAUGUCAUCUCCUCCAUUGAAUUCAGUGAUUUAUAAUAAAUCCAAUUAUGAAGUGUCAACAAAUAGUUCAAAUGUACCUUUUUUUAAAGAUAAUUCUAAUGACAAAGCAAAAUCUGAUCCUAGUUUACAAAUUGAGACAGAAUUCAGUAAAGAACAUAUUGAUAAAAGUAUUAUAUAUCAACAAUCAGUAAAGCCUAAAAAUUAUAAUAAAGAUUUGCUUUUUAAUCAUAAAGAAAUUACAUCAUUAACUACUAAAUCAACUUUAAAAGAGCGUUCAAAUAGUAACCAUACGUUGUCUGGUAACCUUGAUUUAUCUGGAAACCAUGAUAUAUCAGGAAACCUUGAUUUACCUGGGAACCAUGGUAUAUCUGGAAACCAUGAUAUAUCUGGAAACCAUGAUUUACCUGGCAACCAUGAUUUACCUGAGAAUCACAGUUUCUCUGGCUGCUAUUUACCUGGAAAUAAAAAUUUAAAUAAUGAAUAUAAGGAUAAAUGUGAUAAUAUUGAAAAAAGAAUACUUGGUCAAAGUUAUGAAAGCAAUGCAUUGGAAAAAAGGUUAAAUAUAAACCAAACUUCUCAAGCUGUAAAUCAAAAAAUUGAUUCUCAAGAUAUGGACCAAUAUUCAAUAGGUGAUCAUACUGAAAAUCAAUAUCAGGCAGACAGUCAUAUAUCAUCAGACAAAAAUACUGAAAGCCAUUCAGACUUAGUAUCAUUUAUAGAAAAUAAAUCCGAAAGUAUAGCAAAUAAAUCCAAUUAUAAAAAUGAUGUACAAUUAAAAUCCAAAAAUUGUAUUAAUGAACCUCUAGCUUCUGAUGUUUUAAGUAGUUUCUCUACUUUAAUCCACCCGGAAAGUACUGUAUCUAAACAUGCAAACAAAUCAGAAAUAUCAAAUAAAAAUUUAGUCACCAUAAUUAGUGAUCAUCAAAAUAAUCAAGAUUCUGAAUUUUUACAGCCUCAAAAUGAUGGUGCGAAUUUAAAAGAUUCUACAUUAAUUUCUUUGCUAGAGUUGAUUAUUGAGCAAGUAGAAAGCAAUAUUGAAAGUUUUUCUUUGAAUCUGACAGAAGAGUUUUCUUUGGUUAAUCCCAUCAUAAGUUCAUUAGUUGACAAUCGAAAUACCGAAAAGUACAAUGUUUCAGAAAAUUUUAUGGCUCUGCGUUAUUGCUUCAAAGUGUUUAUAUUACAAAAUGAGAAGAUCCCUUUUUUUAUAGAUUCAAUUGAUAAGGAAAUUAAUUUUGAGGGAGAUCUCAGAGACUGUGUUAAUGAGCUGUUCUUAGAGGUUUGGGACCAACUUUUUAUGUUCAUGGUUAUUUUUGUAUCUAAAUUUCCAUUUCAAUUAGAGCAAUUAGCAGAUAUAAUAGCUCAUUUAUUAGUACCUAUGGAAAAUGAGGCAGAAAAGUUAAAGGAUGUUUUGAUUGUAAUUCUCUCGGAUUCAAUGGAAAGCAUUUCAGAAUUUAACGAAGAAUCCAUCAACGAAUCUUAUAAAUCACCAAAUAUAGUAAACAAAUCUAUUGAAUCACCAGUUAAAAUAAAUACCCCUAAUAAAAAGUUUAUUGCAAAUGAUAAUUUAUCCAAAGUUUCAUCAGUUAACAAGUUAAAUUUAUUAGAUAUAGAGGAUGAUAAAUUUGAAAUAAAACAAGAAGUUAUAAAGGAUUCCAACAAAGAUGUGAUUAAGGAUAGUGUCAUAGAAAAUGAAGCAAAAGAAAAACAUAAUAAUGGAACAGAAUUAGGAGAAGAUAGUAUCAUAGAAGAUGAAGUAAAAAAAACGCAUAAUAAUGGAAUCGAAUUAAAAGAAGAUAAUAUCAUAGAAGAUAAAGAAAUCAAAAAGAGUAGUAAGGAAGAGAUGGAGAAAGAAAAUAAUAUUAAAAAAAAGGUUGAAAAAGAAAAUAGCUUUAAGGGAGAAGAGAUAAAUAAUAAAAAGGGGAAUGUGAAAGAUACAAAAAUUGAAAAAAAGAUAAAUUUGCCACCAAUUGAUCGAGAAUCUCUUAUAGAUCUCAAAUAUGAUUUAAGCUCCUCUGAAAGUGACAAUGAAUCGUCAGUAUCAUUUGAUUCAGAUGGUAUGCCUGUUGUUAAAACUCCUACCAUGGAAUCCAAUCGUACUAAAACUCCAGUUUUUUCGGAAUUCAGUCCUCCUUUGAGUAGGAAUGAAGAAGUCAAUGUUGAUAUAAGUUCAGAUGUUUCUGAAAAGUCUCAUGAAAAUAAAUUAAUCACACACAAAGAUGAAGACAGCGAUGAUGAUAUUGAUAUGCUCAUGAAUGAGAGUUUAAAUAUAAAUCAUCAAAUACCCAAAAAGAGCAAACACCAAAACAGAAUAGCAAAAUGAUUGAUUGGAAUGAUAAAAAUUUAUUACCAACAGAAUCUAAGGUUUCUGAAAAAUUAACUUUGAAAAAGCCAGGUUUCUGGGAUGAAUCAGAAUCGGAUUCAGAUGUACCAACGCCACCAAUUCUUUCUU